rnacentral:rRNA from 1 species
AUUGAACGCUGGCGGCAGGCCUAACACAUGCAAGUCGAACGAGCGGCGGACGGGUGAGUAAUGUCUGGGAAACUGCCUGCUGGAGGGGGAUAACUACUGGAAACGGUAGCUAAUAUCGCAUACCAUCAGAUGUGCCCAGAUGGGAUUAGCUAGUAGGUGGGGUAACGGCUCACCUAGGCGACGAUCCCUAGCUGGUCUGAGAGGAUGACCAGCAAAACUGGAACGGGGACCCGGUCCAGACUCCUACGGGAGGCAGCAGUGGGGAAUAUUGCACAAUGGGCGCAAGCCGGAUGCAGCCAUGCCGCGUGUGUGAAGAAGGCCUUCGGGUUGUAAAGCACUUUCAGCGGGGAGGCGUUACCCGCAGAAGAAGCACCGGCUAACUCCGUGCCAGCAGCCGCGGUAAUUC